GAACUGCGAUAAGUAGUGUGAAUUGCAGAAUUCAGUGAAUCAUCGAGUCUUUGAACGCACAUUGCGCCCCCUGGCAUUCCGGGGGGCAUGCCUGUCCGAGCGUCAUUGCUACCCUCAAGCACGGCUUGUGUGUUGGGCCGCCGUCCGCCCCGCCCCGCGGGGGGGACGCGCCCGAAAGGCAGCGCCGGCACCGCGUCCGGUCCUCGAGCGUAUGGGGCUUCGUCACCCGCUCCGUGGGACCGGCCGGCGCCAGGCUUCGUCAACCCCUUCUUUUCUAGGUUGACCUCGGAUCAGGUAGGGAUACCCGCUGAACUUAA
rnacentral:misc_RNA from 1 species